AUUCUUCUUCUCCUUCCUCUCC
rnacentral:sRNA from 1 species